rnacentral:rRNA from 1 species
AUGGGCCGGAUCCCAUGCUGCGAGAAGGAGAACGUGAAGCGCGGGCAGUGGACGGACGAGGAGGAGGACAAGCUGCUCUCCUACAUCAUGCAGUACGGCGCGCGCAACUGGCGUCUCAUCCCCAAGAACGCCGGGCUGCAGCGGUGCUGGAGGAGCUGCCGGCUGCGGUGGGCCAACUACCUGCGGCUCAAGCUCAAGCACGGCGAGAUCACUGACGCCGAGGAGCAGUGCAUCAUCAAGCUGCACUCCGUACUGAGCGACAGGUGGGCGGUGAUCGCGGCCCAGCUGCCGGGGCGGACGAGCUGGGACGUCAAGAACCACUGGAACAUCAAGCUCAAGAAGAAGCUGUCCGGGAUGGAGACACCCCGUGGGGCAGCGGCGUUGCAGGAGCAGCAGCGGCGGACCCUAGUUUUUUUUUUUAACGAAAGCGCGGCCUCUAAUCUCCGACGGAACCGACGAGGUGCAGGAGGUAGCACAUCCGGUGCAACAACAGCCUGA